rnacentral:lncRNA from 1 species
GAUUGCUAUAUUCUGUUUUGGGGUUAAAAUUGUCAGACAUUAAUCACCUAGAGGAUAUUUAAGCACUAAACUGUGUGGUAAUGACCAUGUUUUCAGUCUCAGGCACUCAGGUGAAGGAAAGAUUUAUGCAGGCCAGCAGAUGGGGAAAAGAGGACCUUCCUGAAGAGAAGCUGUGGCAGGUGCAGAAUGCGUCAGCUCAGCUGUUACUGUGCAAAGGUGUGAGAGAAGCGGCAACGCCCCCAUCUGUGAACUGCACUGCUUGCCAGGUUGAUAACAAGGAUUCUGGACUGGAGCCUUACUCUCUAUUGUUAGACUAUAGCUCUCUCUCACAACCACAAAGGAAGAGAAGUAUCGUAUAUACUAGAAGGAGAAGUUGAGGAGAAAGUUGUGCCAGAGAUGGCAGUUAUGGAGGAC